rnacentral:lncRNA from 1 species
AAUUAUUGAAUAACUAUAUUGUUCAGUAUAGUUUCAGUUUCAACUGAAACUAAUAUAACACUGUUAUACUGUAGUUAAAAAUUAAUUAAGGAAAAAUGGUAGAGAGACUGCAUGGAUUUGAUAUCCAUUGACAACAAACUAGGCUCACCAUGAAUGUGGUGACUCGUCCAGGAAGCUGAGCUGUGCUGGCUUCUCAGUGGUUCUACUGCUCUAUUUUCCUUUUGCCAUUUUUGGGUCUCAGAAAAGUAUGAUUGUUAGUCCCUAAAAAUAUAUAACAAUUUUGAGUGAUUAUAUAUGAUUGAAAAUAGCUCAAAACCUUCUUUUACCUAAGUAAUAACAUACUCUUCCCCCAAUGAGAAAAUGAGUAAUGAAAUAAUCUGCCCCUAAUAAAAAAAUAAUUCACAGAUAAGGCCAAUAAUGUAAGCCUUUGAGAAAUUUUCUGUGUGGGAUAGCUGAUGUUUCCCUAAUUUUAAGGAAAGACCUGAACACGGACUUAAGACAGAUCACAUACAUCCUUUCAAUUUUUAAAAAAUUUUAAUUGUUAAAUAAAUUUUUGUCUUUUUUUUCAAAAAGCACUAUAUGCAAUUUUGAACAAUUAAUGCAUUAUUCAGUAACUGUAGACUACUAGUCCAGUUUCCUAAUCUCGAUUACCCAGAGGUGAUCAGAGUUUCUGGUUUCUUAUGAUCGGAAGCCCAAGUUUGUUACCUUCCUCUGUGUAUGUUGCAAUUAAGGGCUAUCUAUUUGAUUUACUAUUGCAAUUGUUUAUCUAUCUUCCACUGAGAGUGCUAGACUGCCAUUUCCUUGAGGAAAAGAAAGGAGCCUGGCCCUUUGCUAUAUUGUCAUCACCUAAUCCAAUGACAGGUAGAUGGUGUGUCCCUGACAUGUCUUAAGUGAAGUGAAAAGUGUGCCAUUAUUUGAUUUCUCAACAUAGGAAAUCUCUCUUUGCUGAGUUGAAUUUUCUUCAGGUAAUGACUAGUUGGGAAUUCUUGUUAGGAAAACAAAGGAAAAGAAGAAAAACAGCAACAAAAAGCGAUUUGUAAUGUGAUGUUUAAGAUGCUGCAUUGCUAAAUAAGCUCUGUGGCAAUGUAGGUAUCAUUGUCAAAACAUAUUGAGGAAAAAGAAAUAUGAACAAGAUGAUAUUUCAAUUUAGAACAGUAUUUAUUAGGCACACUUCUUCAAUUAUUGAAAAUUAGCAUAAGCACCCCUGCCAAUACAAUGUAAAAGUUACUCCUUUCUCAUUAGUUACAGACAUACCCGUUUCUUAGCAAGCAAAUCCACUUAUAAUAUUACCAAUUAAAAGAUAGAAUUUUAAAAGAGGGAAACAACAUUUAAGGCUUCAGUUCUGGGUUGGUUUUCUCACGGUGCAGAAUUCUUGAGCAUAUGGUUACUUGAUUGUGUUAACCUAUGGUUGGUAUCUAUGAUG